rnacentral:rRNA from 1 species
CGAGUGAAGCGGCAACAGCUCAAAUUUGAAAUCUGGCUCUCGGGCCCGAGUUGUAAUUUGUAGAGGAUGCUUUUGAUGCGGUGCCUUCCGAGUUCCCUGGAACGGGACGCCAUAGAGGGUGAGAGCCCCGUCUGGUUGGAUACCAAAUCUCUGUAAAGCUCCUUCGACGAGUCGAGUAGUUUGGGAAUGCUGCUCUAAAUGGGAGGUAUAUGUCUUCUAAAGCUAAAUACUGGCCAGAGACCGAUAGCGCACAAGUAGAGUGAUCGAAAGAUGAAAAGCACUUUGAAAAGAGAGUUAAAAAGUACGUGAAAUUGUUGAAAGGGAAGCGUUUAUGACCAGACUUGGGCUUGGAUAAUCAUCUGGGGUUCUCCCCAGUGCACUUUUCCAGUCCAGGCCAGCAUCAGUUUUCGCCGGGGGAUAAAGGCUUCGGGAAUGUGGCUCCCUCCGGGGAGUGUUAUAGCCCGUUGCGUAAUACCCUGGCGGGGACUGAGGUUCGCGCAUCUGCAAGGAUGCUGGCGUAAUGGUCAUCAACGACCCGUCUUGAAACACGGACCAAGGAGUCGUCUUCGUAUGCGAGUGUUCGGGUGUCAAACCCCUACGCGUAAUGAAAGUGAACGCAGGUGAGAGCUUCGGCGCAUCAUCGACCGAUCCUGAUGUUCUCGGAUGGAUUUGAGUAAGAGCAUACGGGGCCGGACCCGAAAGAAGGUGAACUAUGCCUGUGUAGGGUGAAGCCAGAGGAAACUCUGGUGGAGGCUCGCAGCGGUUCUGACGUGCAAAUCGAUCGUCAAACAUGGGCAUGGGGGCGAAAGACUAAUCGA